UGACCAUUCAACUUUUGAAAUAUUGCUGGCAUUCUUAUUCCCUAUUCUCUCUGUACCUCUAGUCCUCAGACACUGGAAGCUGUAAGUUGAAAAGCCAAGGCUCAUGUGGCAGAAAUCCCAAUGCUUGUAAUCUUCCACUGCAGAAGCUCCUCUCCGGACUCUCUGAAAGACUUCUGUGCCAAUUCUACUUGUCAUGGCUCUGCUCAGUCCAAGAUGAUCUGAUGAAGAUUUUGAGGUAGCAGCACCUCAUGAUUGCUGUUUGACUACAGGGCUGCUGCAGCUGGGAUUCCUGUUACACAACUCAACAGUCUGAUUUUUAACCACCAAGUGCCACCUGUCUGUACCAGUCAGGACCCAGCCCACAGCUAUGGCAGUUUCUUUUCCUACUCACCAAUUGUUUCACUUUUGUUCCUAAGCCAGAAUACACUAUUAAUGCUGCCUAUGAUGUAUUCAGCUGACUCUUUGGCUAUUUGGCCUGAAUUAUUUGCAUGCACGCCUGCAAGUAGAUAUAUAGAUAUAGGUGCAUUUUCAAAGCUGUGAAAAGAAUAUAAACAUUAUAUAUAUCUGAGGUAUACUGUGUCAUGUUUACCGUGUGAAUGAUUGAAUUUGUCAUUCUUGUUUUAUUUGCCUAAUUUUUUGUUUUCAUGUGUGCAGGUUGGUGGCCCCAGCAGGCCCUCAGAAAAAUUUGCAGCUGUGUGAACCAGACUUUGCAGAAACAAUUAACAUGUUUGCUGUACUGUAAUGAAUAGACUAGCUGCAUUGAAGUCGCACACUGACAUACUAUACCAAUGAGUUCUGUCACAUGCAAAAACUAUGUUUUUAGCUAUAACAGGUUAUACUGCACUGUACAAGUAAGUAUAAAGCACUGAAUGCUUUCAUAUGAUGCUAAUUAUCUCACCACGCAUUUAAGCAAAAACAUCCUUUCUUUCUGCUUGACAAAAAUCUGUGAUUGCUGAAAUACAGUAGAACUGGCUAGGAAGGAUAAAAGAAUAAGGAAUUACACAUAUAGACAAUAAGAAGUUAACUUGUUUUUGUACCUUAGGUGAAAGAAUGAGUGAAUAAUUACAAUCUGGUGAUUAAUUCCAUUAUCCAUGGUAAGUUAAGUAUGUACCAGAGAAAGUGAGACAUUUGAGCCGACAAUGCAGUGUGAAUAAGGUACAGUGGAAUUCCUAAGUGCAUGCUGGUGUAUUAUAAAUGAACGCUUGUAGAGUCACGUCUGCUUUCAGGCAGUGGGGAGUUGAAAUAACAUACCUGUCAGGCCCUUCUGCAUAUGCAGAGAGCCAGUCUAGGACUCAGGAACCCUAUGCCUAUGACUGGGCAUAAAGCCAGUCCUUGGCCACCUCCAUGAUUCAGCCCCAUUUGAUCAGUUUGAUUUGGAUCCCAGGAGAAGCACUGCUAUGUCUGCCCUGUGCUCACUAAGGAGCAUGGUAGAAGGCCAUGAGCUUCUAACAUGGCACUAAGUUCUACAGCCUCCUACUGAAACGGGAUGUAGCACAGUCUGAGACUCACCCUGCCUUGUAUCUUUAGCAACUGCAAAGUAUUUUCCUGGUAUUUAUCUUCUUAAAAUUCCCUAUGUUGUCCUGAGCUGUGCAUAUAAAUUUCUGCAUAAAGCCAGUGCAUUGAUGUGUCUGUAGAUCUAAACACUAAUAAAUUAAAGAAACGUUUAUGUAAAGCAUUGCAUCUUCAAAGCACUGUACUUCAUCAGCUAAUUAAUCUUUACAAUACUCUUGUGAGGAAGUUAGAAUUUGUUUGUUUAUUUCAGUAGGCUUUCUUGUUCCUGUGAAAUAAGAUUGUGAGAUUCAGCCUUGUAUUCCCAGCCCAGCUCUCUAGGUCUUGCCAAAACUGGGGAAAUGUAUCAAACAGAACAGACUCA